AGUCACUGGUGGAAAUAUUUUCCUCCUUUU
rnacentral:piRNA from 1 species